rnacentral:rRNA from 1 species
CAAUAGCGUAUAUUUAAGUUGUUGCAGUUAAAAAGCUCGUAGUUGGAUUUCGGGUGGGACGCAGCGGUCUCGCAUUGCGUUUGUACUGCUGCAGCCCUCCUUCUUGCCGGGGGCGGCCUCUCGGACUUCACUGUCUGGGGGUCAGAAUCGGCGAUGUUACUUUGAGUAAAUUAGAGUGUUCAAAGCAAGCUUACGCUCUGAAUAUAAUAGCAUGGGAUAACACGACAGGACUCUGGCCUAUCGUGUUGGUCUAUAGGACCAGAGUAAUGAUUAAGAGGGACAGUCGGGGGCAUUCGCAUUCCGUUGUCAGAGGUGAAAUUCUUGGAUUUACGGAAGACGAACAUCUGCGAAAGCAUUUGCCAAGGAUGUUUUCAUUGA